CCUACGGGAGGCAGCAGUGAGGAAUAUUGGUCAAUGGGCGAAAGCCUGAACCAGCCAAGUAGCGUGAGGGAUGACUGCCCUAUGGGUUGUAAACUUCUUUUAUAAAGGAAUAAAACGAGGCACGUGUGCCUUUCUGCAUGUACUUUAUGAAUAAGGAUCGGCUAACUCCGUUCCAGCAGCCGCGGUAAUACGGAGGAUCCGAGCGUUAUCCGGAUUUAUUGGGUUUAAAGGGAGCGUAGAGGGGUUGUUAAGUCAGUUGUGAAAGUUUGCGGCUCAACCGUAGAAUUGCAGUUGAUACUGGCAGGCGUGAGUACAGAUGAGGUAGGCGGAAUUCGUGGUGUAGCGGUGAAAUGCAUAGAUAUCACGAAGAACCCCGAUGGCGAAGGCAGCCUACU
rnacentral:rRNA from 1 species